GAUGAACGCUGGCGGCGUGCCUAAUACAUGCAAGUCGAGCGAACAGACGAGGAGCUUGCUCCUCUGACGUUAGCGGCGGACGGGUGAGUAACACGUGGAUAACCUACCUAUAAGGCUGGGAUAACUUCGGGAAACCGGAGCUAAUACCGGAUAAUAUAUUGAACCGCAUGGUUCAAUAGUGAAAGACGGUUUUGCUGUCACUUAUAGAUGGAUCCGCGCCGCAUUAGCUAGUUGGUAAGGUAACGGCUUACCAAGGCAACGAUGCGUAGCCGACCUGAGAGGGUGAUCGGCCACACUGGAACUGAGACACGGUCCAGACUCCUACGGGAGGCAGCAGUAGGGAAUCUUCCGCAAUGGGCGAAAGCCUGACGGAGCAACGCCGCGUGAGUGAUGAAGGUCUUCGGAUCGUAAAGCUCUGUUAUUAGGGAAGAACAAAUGUGUAAGUAACUAUGCACGUCUUGACGGUACCUAAUCAGAAAGCCACGGCUAACUACGUG
rnacentral:rRNA from 1 species